CCCUGGCAGGAGCGCUGGUGCUCUGCAGAGCAGCCUAUUGGACUGCGAGUUCGCCCUGGAGAGCCAAUCGAAGGAGCUGGCGGCUCUCCAGGCGGAGCAGGGCGCGAGGGGGGCGGAGCUUACAGCGGCACGGAGAGAGGUGGAGCACCUGCUGGAGCGCUGGAUGGAGGAGAAGAGAGAAGAGGCGGAGCGAGUGAACGAGCACAACAGCACGCAGGAGCGAUGGCAGCGGUUCACCAGCCAGCUGGCUAAGCACUGCCGGAGAGGUGGGCAGCAGCAAAGAGGUGAACCUGAGCAGCUCACCUGGACACCACCUGAUACACCUGCAACCUGUGAGGAGACAACUGAGCCACUCUGAUACAGCCACGUGCACCUAACACACACACAUGCAUCAACACCUAACGCACACACAUACACCAAGACCUAGCACACAAACUAUCAAGCCAAAUAGCUGUAGCCAGUAAGGUCUCUGUCCCUGGUUUACACAUGUAACCCCCCUCCAUUUCCUGACCAAAUGCUAACACAUUCAGAGUAUACUAUGGUGUCGAACAGACACAUAAAUAGAACAGUGCUCUGCCUUAAAUGAACACCCUCCGAUCUAAAUGCACAAAUGACACAGAAAUUCAAAAUAAACAUUUUUUAAAAAAAGAAGUUUUAUUUUUUUCCUGAAAUGCUGUACAAAAUAAAGAAGCAACAUGAAUCGUC